rnacentral:rRNA from 4 species
UAGACCGCCUGGGGAGUACGGCCGCAAGGUUAAAACUCAAAUGAAUUGACGGGGGCCCGCACAAGCGGUGGAGCAUGUGGUUUAAUUCGAUGCAACGCGAAGAACCUUACCUGGUCUUGACAUCCACAGAACUUUCCAGAGAUGGACUGGUGCCUUCGGGAACUGUGAGACAGGUGCUGCAUGGCUGUCGUCAGCUCGUGUUGUGAAAUGUUGGGUUAAGUCCCGCAACGAGCGCAACCCUUAUCCUUUGUUGCCAGCGAUUAGGUCGGGAACUCAAAGGAGACUGCCAGUGAUAAACUGGAGGAAGGUGGGGAUGACGUCAAGUCAUCAUGGCCCUUACGACCAGGGCUACACACGUGCUACAAUGGCGCAUACAAAGAGAAGCGACCUCGC